AAAGGAAAAAAGAACAAAUUUUAAUAGAUUUUAAAAGAUCAAUUUGAUUUUUUUUUUCAACAAAACAAACCAGGAGAAAUACUCUAUUGUAGAGUAAUCCUAGGGAGAGUCCCACCCACCAGCUGUUCUUGCUUCCUUUUCCCUCCAAACAACUACAAGGGAGACACAGACAAACAUCUCUGAGACUCAGUCUCCUGCAGGGCAAUAGCCCAACAGAGCUGGCCACCCUACUAAACUGUCUCUUUUUCACUUUUUCCUUAACACUCCUCAGCCCCCCAACCACAAUGCCUGCUCAGUGCUGGAGACUCAGCUCACUUGCCAAACCUAGAGGAAGGAGGAGGGGUACAGAACGGAACAACUUGAAAAGUCACUUUAUAAAACUUUACAUCAAGGCUUGAGGCAGGAACUGCUGGAUUUCCAUUCAAUCAGGUAGAGCAAAGUGAUUGAAAUUCACUGGUGAUGGCUGAUUCCUUAAUACCAGCAAGCCAAGCUGCUUGGUUUAUGCUUCGUGUUUGACUCAGGUUCUGACAGACAACUGAAGAUUUCAACCUGACCUUGUAAUGGUGACAUCAACUUUGUCACAAGAUGCAGGAAAAUGCCAGAAAUAAACAUCUCAGUUACCAUUAA